GAGACGCUACCGGCCGGAGCAGAUUUCCCGGUGCAUACACCCGCUACCACCCGGUGUUUACACACCUCAGUCUUCUUCCUACUGACCCGCGACACCAUUGGACCCCGAGUUCCCCUAGCGGUACGAGACGCUGACAUCGCUGGAAUCUCUGGGACUCAGAUAGUGCUGGAUGACAGAGGUACCCCGUACAUCAAGCCCUCUGUGUUGAGUAUGCAUCAACAAACUGUUUGAGUAGCGUGCAUCUCAGUAGUCGCCCUACUAUUAGGAGCGGUAUACAGAUUAUCUGAACAUUACAGAGUGCAUUUUAGGAAACUAAUUAUAAAGAUAUUGCCCUGUAAGUGACAACGUUAUUUAUACAUUGUAGCACGAUCGCCAGUAAGAGGACUGUAACAUAGGUAUCACAUCGGAAUAUAGGGAAACUAACACCGGUACACAGCUACGUACCUUAAAGUGACCGAUCACCGCCGUAAGGAGUUCACAUUGAGAAAAAUAAGUGAAAUAUAUGUACCCCUGGAGGUGCAACAAACAUCAUAAUAAAUACUACAAUUGAUCAAUUCCACCAUUCCCUCUCGGGAGGGUUCCAUACAACUGACCAGGAAUCAUCAGUAUAUCUCAGUAUCCAUCCUUGUGAUUACAACAUAAUAUCCUCAGAACGUCGUCAGUGGCUAGAGGAGGUCACAUGACUCCACCCCUUGACAACGCACGGCUAGUUACCAUCCAGUUCUCUCCACUUCUUUCCACUACGAGCGAACCUUGCUAAUGUGAUAGGCUGAAAGUAGUCACUUGACCCGUGGCCCUGAUGGCACAUCCUUGACAACUCAGCUCCUGCUUACACACGAUCAGAGAACCGCCGCAUGAGUUCUGACACUGUUUGUUUAUUUACAUUAUGCACACAGCGAGCCUCACUCUCAUGCACUACUACCGGU